rnacentral:rRNA from 1 species
AACGCUAGCUACAGGCGUUAACACAUGCAAGUCGAGGGGCGAGCAUGGCCUUAGCUUGCUAAGGCUGAUGGCGACCGGCGCACGGGUGAGUAACGCGUAUCCAACUUCCCCUUAGUAGGGCAUAGCCCGGCGAAAGUCGGAUUAAUACCCUAUGUUUUCCCGUGAGAGCAUUUGAGCGGGAACAAAGAUUCAUCGCUAAGGGAUGGGGAUGCGUCCGAUUAGCUUGCCGGCGGGGUAACGGCCCACCGGGGCUUCGAUCGGUAGGGGUUCUGAGAGGAAGGUCCCCCACACUGGUACUGAGACACGGACCAGACUCCUACGGGAGGCAGCAGUGAGGAAUAUUGGUCAAUGGGGCGCGAGCCUGAACCAGCCAAGUAGCGUGCAGGAAGACGGCCCUACGGGUUGUAAACUGCUUUUAUGCGGGGAUAAAGUUCACCACGCGUGGUUGUUUUGCAGGUACCGCAUGAAUAAGGACCGGCUAAUUCCGUGCC